UAAUUGAAGAGUUUGAUCAUGGCUCAGAUUGAACGCUGGCGGCAGGCCUAACACAUGCAAGUCGAGCGGUAACAGAG
rfam:Pseudoalteromonas porphyrae strain TCD-SED14 scaffold_22, whole genome shotgun sequence.